rnacentral:tRNA from 1 species
AGGGAUAUAACUCAGCGGUAGAGUGCCACCUUGACGUGGUGGAAGUCAUCAGUUCGAGCCUUAUUAUCCCUA